rnacentral:rRNA from 1 species
GAUGAACGCUAGCGGCAGGCCUAAUACAUGCAAGUCGAGGGGCAGCACGGUUAGCAAUAACUGGUGGCAACCGGCGCACGGGUGCGUAACACGUAUACAAUCUACCUUUUACUGGAAAAUAGCCCGAAAAAAUUCGAAUUAAUGCUCCAUAACAGUAUUUUAGGCAUCUAAAAUAUUUGAAAGUUCCAACGGUAAAAAAUGAGUAUGCGCAUGAUUAGCUAGUUGGUGAGGUAAUGGCUCACCAAGGCAACAAUCAUUAGGGGAUCUGAAAGGACUACCCCCCACACUGGUACUGAAACACGGACCAAACUCCUACGGGAGGCAGCAGUAAGGAAUAUUGGUCAAUGGAGGCAACUCUGAACCACCCAUGCCGCGUGCAGGAUGAAUGCCCUAUGGGUAGUAAACUGCUUUUAUACGGAAAAAAACCCAGGUACGUGUACCUGGUUGAUAGUACUGUAAAAAUAAGGAUCGGCUAACUUCGUG